GACCUGCCCCACUCUCGGUCCACCUCCAUCUCCAGGUUGCUCCAUCUGGCGAUGGAAACGGCGGUAGCCGCCGCUGUCAGCGGAGGAGGCCUGGGCUACGCAGACUCCGUCGACUCCUCCCCCCGCUCCCGUGGUGGCGACUCGUGGGACGAGCCACCCUUCCCCUCCGCUGCCGCCGGCCGCCUCCGCCUGAUGUGCAGCUACGGCGGCCGUAUCGUCCCCCGGCCCACCGAUAAGACCCUGUGCUACCUUGGUGGCGAGACCCGCAUCGUGGUAGUCGACCGCCACUCGUCCCUCUCCGACCUCUCCGCCAAACUCUCCCGGACCCACCUCCGCGGUCGCCCCUUCUCCCUCAAGUACCAGCUCCCCAACGAGGACCUCGACUCCCUCAUCUCCGUCGCCACUGACGAGGACCUUGAAAACAUGAUUGACGAGUACGACCGCAUCCUUACUGCCGCCUCCACCGGUACCAGCGGCGGCUCCAACCGCUCCUCCCGUCUCCGCCUCUUCCUGUUCCCUUCUAAGCCCGAGUCGUCGCCUACGUCCUCGAUCGGAUCGCU
rnacentral:lncRNA from 1 species